AAUUAAAAAAAAAUUAUAUUAUUUAAAAAAUUAAUUUUUUUUUACAUUUAUAAAUACUCCUCUAAAUCUCCAAACUCAUCACAACAAAAAUUCUUCAUUCAUUUAUCUCUAAGCUUUAAAUUUUAUAUAAUAUUAAUUAACAAUGUUAAAAAAUAAAUUUAUUGUUAGUGUUUAAUUUUUUUAAAAUUUAUAAAUUUUUUUAAAAAAAGUUGGAUAUAAUUAUGUAAAUUAAAAAUUAUAAAUCAAAAGUUUAUAAUCUAAAAACUACUUAUCUCUUUUUCUUCAAAAAAUAAUUAAAAAAAAAAUACAAAAAGGGCAAUUAGGAAGAAAUUCCCUAUUACUGGGCCGGCACGAAGCCCGGCCUGGCCCGGCUCCCGGCUGGAUCAGGGAUCCGGGCCGGGCCUUCCACUCUAAAUAAACGGGCUGGCCCGGCCCGGCACGGGUAAUUUGGAGAUAAACUUCAAAUGCUAUUACUGUAGUUUCGCGCUCUUACACUUUAGUAUCUUCUGAUUUAAAAUAUGUCACUUUAGUAUCCUGUGGUUUCAUUUUUCUCUUUUCGUCAGCACCUCCGUUAACUCUCCGUUAAAUCAUAUAUAGAAAACUUCAGAUACUCCACCUAUGGUUUAUUGAAUAUUCACUUUAGUACUCCGUAGUUUAUCGAAACUAUAUGGUACAAAAGUAACAUAAUUUAAACCACGGGGUACUAAUGUGAGAAAGCGCGAAACCACAGGGUUGGUAUUUGAAGUUUUUCCAUUAUUUUUUUUGCUUUUGUUAAAAAU
rnacentral:lncRNA from 1 species